UUCCAGGUUGAAUAAUAAAACAAAAAUUGAGAUUAACAACCUUUUAAAAUUAAAUUAUUGUUUUUUUAAGUCUAUUGUUUAUACUGAACAGAGGGAGUUUUCAAUUCAAUUCAUUUAAGUUUUUAGUUCUUAAUAGGCAUUUCAAAAGUCACUGUGGAGCAUUGACAACAACAAAACUACAAUAACCAAACAGGUAAACAAACAACUGUUUGUCAAUCAAAAUAGAAGCUUAAAAAAAGGAAAAACAUAUAAUAAAUGUAAAUGGGAGGUUUGUUCAAUAACAAACCCGUCAGUGCUGAAACAGCAUCAGGAAUGCAGACCUAAUGGUUACAUCACUCCGUGCACACAGACGCCUUACAUAACCCGAUUAUGUCAUUUCAAUCCAGCCUCACAAACUUCUCCCUCCUCAGGAACCUGGACAAGCAGGGGCGGGGUCUGUGUUUGGGUCAGGGGUCGAUUCCCACACUUGGUCCUUGUGUUCAGCGGGCUCACGGACUAGCAUCAGUGACUCAUCCUGGUCCGCCGCUUUAAUCUGGUUAAUCUGAGACCUUCCUGAACAGAGAGUGGACUGGACACGUCUGGACCGAGCGAGAAAGCCAAGAGCUUCAGCUCAAAGUGACUGAGUCAUUUUUGAUUCAGCUGAAAGGAAUUUGUGUGAAUUUCUCCUCUUUAUAAAAGCCUUGAGUCAGAGAUGCUUGAUUCUGUGCAUGUUUGAGCACCAUGACUCCUGAAUGUCUGCAGUUAUGCUGCCGUCAAACAAAAGCAGAGAUGUGAAGAACGGAGGCCUGAAGAUUAAUCAACAGGCGUAGCUUCCAUUGUGCUAAUCCUGUAAACUCCACCGGCUCUUUAUGUCACAGAAGUUCUCAUCUGUAGACAAAUUGCUGCAGGGCAAGUAUGGGAACACAAAUAAAAUGAAAGCCCGGAACACCACCGUAUAGCCCGCAGGAUUGAAUGAACUGCUGAGUCACCCUAGGAUUUGAUCAAGGUUGUCUCAUCGUCUCCAUGGUUUACUUCUGAUUAUCUCUAAGGCGCCACACUCUCACUUCCUCCUUGAGGCUGGGCUGAAAACAAAAGUAUAUGUUCACCAGGAAACCACCAGGAGGGUUGUUUUACAGUCAUUCCAUCGAUUGUCAUGCUAACACUGCAGCUCACUUUUUCACAUCUGUGAUUGAACUUCACUCCCUCUGGAUGUUAAAGGGUAUCCAAUUAGGGAGGUUGGAGGCUGACUCCGCCCACAGUCGAAAUUUGAA